AAUGCGCGCAGCCUGAUGCAGCAAUGCCGCGUGAGUGAUGAAGGCCUUCGGGUUGUAAAGCUCUUUUGUCCGGAAAGAAAACGUCGGUACUAAUAUCAGAUGCCCCUGACGGUUCCGGGCCAAUAACCACGGGAAAACUACAUGCCAGCAGCCGCGGUAAUA
rnacentral:rRNA from 1 species